ACAAAGAGAGAGAGAGGGGUGGGUGGGUGGGUAUUAAUACCAGAGAAAUGUACAAUUCAAUUUCAUUUCCAAAGUAACAAUUAAGAAUACUAUUUUGUCUUGAAUCGUAAACGUGUAUCCAACCCUUGAGAACAGCUACAAAAUAGUUCUUCCCAUGGGUCACGCCCCAUUACUCCAUAAAAUUUAAUGGAAAUUGGUCGAGACCAAUUCUGCUAAUUGACAUACAGAAAGAUGACUGCACAGUAAACACUGCCCAGGAAGCACUGCUCAGCUUUCAGUAAUGAGAGAAUCGUUCCAAAAUUUAGAAUGUAAUCAAACUUACAAAGUAGCGUAAGAAGAAAUCUUUCACGUCGGAUUUUUGUUAUAUAUAGCACUGUAUAAAACUCUUUUAUAUAUAUACAUUUUAUACAAUUAAUAAAAAGUGCCAAUUACAGAUAUUUAAAAAACAUACAACAAUUGAAAACAAGCUUUAAAAAUAAUUUUGUUACAUUAAAAAAGUACAUCCUAAUACAAUUUCCGGUUUUGGAGCUAAGCUGCAGCUGAGUGCUAUAAAUACAGCUUCCGGUCACUAGAGGUCCAGAAAUCUGCGUGAAAGUACGUCUGUUUUUAACUGCCGUGGCACAAAUGCAAAACCGCGACAAUUUUAAAAGUUUCUACGUCAACUGGAUCCUUAGACCUGCUCCGUUGUGUGAGCCUGUCAUUAUAUAUAAAACAAAUGAGCGAAAGCUUACGUUGUAGCCGUUUUCUGACCGGUAAGAGAGCAAAGCAACACCGCAGACAGCAACGCAAGGAUUAAAGAGGAGAGGACCCACAAUAGUAAGUUUUACAUUUCUUUGUUACAGAAUAUAAUUUUAAGUAUGUGUAAGGGUUAAAUAGUUGUGGAAAAGAGGGUAUAUAUAAAACCUUUAAUUGAUAUUGAAUGAGGUCUAUAAGUUACAACUGUGGCCCCUACUAUUCACGUGAUGUGGGACAGCUGUAACGGACUUGACCAUAAGUAUCUGUCAAGAGGUAACUUCCUAAGAAUAGUAGGUACAUGGAUGUCUCAGAAGCUAAAUGUUUUAGUUUAGGAUGUUAAUAGUUUUGGUAUAUUUCAAACCAAUGAAAUCUGUUGACCCUACAAGAUUACAAAACAGUAGUUUGUUUUGAUUGACAAUGUAUACGAUUUUACCUCAUUUUAAUAUUUGUCUUGUAUUGGAUUUCUGUUUUGGUACUUUGUGUACAGCCCACUGUGAUAUAAUUUUAAAUGUUUGUCAUUUUUUAUUUCAGGUGCUAAUUUUCCAUUACUUGGCUUGGUAACAAAGACUCUGGACCAAAGCAUUGAGGUUGUUUAUAAUUUUUAUCAAAUGUAGGUAAUUUUUAAUUGCUCUUGUAUUAUCUUAACUUUAAUUUUAUGUUAAGAAUCUAUUCCAUAUUCAAAUUAAUAACUGCACAUGCUGCUGUACUGAUCUUUCAACUGACAAAUAAAAUCUACACAAAGUUCAGGUUGUUUUGAGAAUUUUUUUUUUUUAACAGACUUUUCAACAUAAAUCCUUAUUCUGUGUAACUUGUUAUAUCACAGAAAUGGCCAUUUAUGAUUUUACACAGAACAUGUAAGUCCAUUGUUUUUUUACAAUAGUGUCAAAAUGUAUUCUCAUAAAUAAAUGUUUG